AAUAAUCUAUGUGGCUACUACAUCUGUGAGCACAUGCACAGUUUUAUGGGACCCAAGGGACUGAAGAUGACGUUGCACAACUUUAAAGUACGUAAAAUAAAACUAUUACUAGUUAAUUAUUUUCUAGCUCCUUAUAUGUAUUUGUUCGUGUAACAUUCACAAAUUUCCAAAUUAUAGAUGUUAAAUAUUCAACAAGGACUCUUGAAGGAAGAAAGAGUAGCGGCAAUAUGUGAAGGUCUCAUUGGAUUCCUA
rnacentral:lncRNA from 1 species